ensembl:lncRNA
UAUACAAAGGGUGAAAUAAUUCCCUGACAGUUUGGUCCAUCGAUCGGAAUCUCAAGAAAGGACAAGAUCGACCGGGAGCAGAAACACGGAAGCCGUACGUCGAUGCAUCGCCCUGCCCAAUAGUUGGAUAGGUAAAGUCCCUUCGCGUUGAAUUCGUCGUUGGGCCGGCUGAAGGACUUCUGCCCCCGGGAAAGUCUGCCUUCUCGAGAUCCAGAUCCAGAUGAGACGCACAACAAGAAUAAUAAAUACAAGGCCAGGUGAAGGUGAAGGUGACUGGGUGUUCAUCAAAAUCAUCAAAUGAAAGAGCUGGUCUGACGACAGGGGGGAGUGCUACUGUCUACCCCCACUGCCGUUAAAAUUGCAGAACGCUCCACCUGGAUUCAUCUGUCACACUGUAAACUUCGUUCAUUUUUUUUAAGAUGCACCACUAGCGUUGAGUAGGGUUUCGUGCCUACUUGAGGGGGUUGAGAAAUAUAGCUCUUUUCCGUCUUAACGUCACCUAACCUCCAGGGAGCGCCCUGAGGGUUAGAGAUUCUGGUCAACAUAGUAGAGGUGUAUCUGUGUUUAUUGUUUUUCUUGUUUAUUUGUGUUUAUUGUUUUUCUGUAUACAAUAUAUAACUCCGGUAAAACAAUGUUUAAACUGUUACUAUUAAUGAUUAAUUCAGGGGUAAUGUUGGGUCUAUGGUCCUCUACAAGUGUAAUUGAGAGAAUCCAUAAGAGGUGGAUUUCAUACGGGGAACGUUACUCAUCUGUAUUUUAUUAAUUCAUGGUAUAGAUAUGCAUUUUUGCAAGCGAACAGACUUGAUAGGACCAAUUGCUAUGUAUGUACCUUAAUGCCAACAUCCUACUUUCACCCUAGACUUAAAUCAAGGCUACUCUCAUUCCAAGCAAUGAUCUGUGUUGGAGAGAAGUGUGCCCCAGACAACUGGGGCUACAGUAAGCCAUUUUAUGAUACAGACGAUACCCAGGUGCAGGAUCUGUGUAACAAUACCCACCCACUAGCAGAACUAAAAAACAUGCCACAACCUAGCUGUCACCUUAAGUGGCAGUCCAUUCCAUAUUCCUAAUGUGUUUUUCUAUUAGAGGAACAACGAG